rnacentral:tRNA from 1 species
UCGGGGAUCGUCUAAUGGUAGGACAACAGGUUCUGGACCUGUUUAUCUUGGUUCGAAUCCAGGUCCCCGAGCGA